rnacentral:rRNA from 1 species
AUGCAAGUCGAGGGGAAACGGCAUCAAGCGCUUGCGCCUGAUGGACGUCGACCGGCGCACGGGUGAGUAACGCGUAUCCAACCUGCCCCACACUAAGGGAUAACCCGCAGAAAUGUGGACUAAUACCUUAUAUUUUCCACCAAGGGCAUCGUCGAUGGAACAAAGAUUUAUCGGUAUGGGAUGGGGAUGCGUCCGAUUAGGUUGUUGGCGGGGUAACGGCCCACCAAGCCUUCGAUCGGUAGGGGUUCUGAGAGGAAGGUCCCCCACAUAGGAACUGAGACACGGUCCUAACUCCUACGGGAGGCAGCAGUGAGGAAUAUUGGUCAAUGGGCGUGAGCCUGAACCAGCCAAGUAGCGUGCAGGAAGACGGCCCUAUGGGUUGUAAACUGCUUUUAUGCGGGGAUAAAGGAGUCCACGUGUGGAUUUUUGCAGGUACCGCAUGAAUAAGGACCGGCUAAUUCCGUGCCAGCAGCCGCGGUAAUACGGAAGGUCCGGGCGUUAUCCGGAUUUAUUGGGUUUAAAGGGAGCGUAGGCCGCGUUUUAAGCGUGUUGUGAAAUGUAGACGCCCAACGUCUGCAUCGCAGCGCGAACUGGGACGCUUGAGUACGCGCAACGUUGGCGGAAUUCGUCGCGUAGCGGUGAAAUGCUUAGAUAUGACGAGGAACUCCGAUUGCGAAGGCAGCUGACGGGAGCGGCACUGACGCUUAAGCUCGAAGGUGCGGGUAUCAAACAGGAUUAGAUACCCUGGUAGUCCGCACAGUAAACGAUGGAUGCCCGCUGUGUGCCAUUUAUGGUACGCGGCUAAGCGAAAGCGUUAAGCAUCCCACCUGGGG